GAGAAGACACAAUCUUUAUGGGUGGAGUUCGCCGUUGAUGCCGGUGGUUAGUGUCCUCUUGGCAACUUGGCUCACGGAGUUCUUCACGGUGUUCUUCAAAUUCUCCUCCAAAUGCCUAAAAUCAAUGGCUUGGAAAAGUGCAAUCAAAUAGGUCGAUGACAUAAGUUUGAGAAUCUCAACAGCUUCAUUUGUUUUCCUAGCUAAAAUCAAACUAAGAGAGUUCACAUCUUGGUUAUGCUGCUCAACAU